UCCGCCUAGAGAGAAAGCUCGCGGCUGAUUAGCUUGUUGGUAAGGUAAGGAGCUUACCAAGGCGACGAUCAGUAUCUGGUUUGAGAGGACGAUCAGACACACUGGAACUGAGACACGGCCCAGACCCCUACGGGAGGCAGCAGUGGGGAAUUUUGGACAAUGGGCGAAAGCCUGAUCCAGCCAUGCCGCGUGAGUGAAAGAAGGGCCUUCGGGUUGUAAAGCUCUUUCGGCUGGGAAGAAAUCGCACAGGCUAAUACUCUGUGUGGAUGACGGUACCAGCACAAGAAGCACCGGCUAACUACGUG
rnacentral:rRNA from 1 species